AACAGCUCUAGCCUGCUCACUGAUAAAAGAAUUAAAGAGCCGCGGUAUAUUGACCGUGCAAAGGUAGCAUAAUCAUUAGUUUUUUAAUUGGAAACUUGUAUGAAUGGUUGGACAAAAGAGAAGCUGUCUCUAUUAUAAAUAUUGAAUUUAACUUUUAAGUGAAAAGGCUUAAAUAAUUUAGUGGGACGAUAAGACCCUAUAAAACUUUAUAUUUUAGUUGCAUUUAAUUGGUUUUUAAAGGUUUUAUGUGGCGUGUAUAUUUUAUUGGGGCGAUAAAGGUAUAAGUAAUAUUAACUGUUUUAGUAAAGAACAAUAGAUUUUUGAAAAUAGUAAAUGAUCCUUUUUAAAGAUUCAAAGACCAAGUUACUUUAGGGAUAACAGCGUAAUUUCUUUUGAGAGUUCAUAUCGAAAAAGAAGAUUGCGACCUCGAUGUUGAAUUAAAAUGUCUAUUCAGGGCAGCACCUGAACAUAGAAGCAUCUGUUCGAUCUUUAAAUUUUUACAUGAUCUGAGGUUCC
rnacentral:rRNA from 1 species